AUGUUUUAUUUCAGAAUGGCGUCCAAAGGAAUGGGAGUUCUCCUUCUGCUCGGGAUUUUUGCUGUGACUGUCUCCCAGAUGUCUGCUUUUCCCACACCUGCCGAGGAUGAUAAAGCUGUAGUUUACAACAGACGACUGACUGAGGAGAGACCAAUCCAGGAGCAGAUUGCAGAGGCAGAUGAUGUGAAAGCAGCAGUGGAGUCUGCAGGUAAGUGGAUACUUCUCAGGCAAUCAAUCAAUAUUGUUAUUACAUACAUUUGAAUAUGGAUGUGAAUAGU
rnacentral:lncRNA from 1 species